AUUGAACGCUGGCGGCAGGCCUAACACAUGCAAGUCGAGCGGAUGAGUGGAGCUUGCUCCAUGAUUCAGCGGCGGACGGGUGAGUAAUGCCUAGGAAUCUGCCUGGUAGUGGGGGACAACGUUUCGAAAGGAACGCUAAUACCGCAUACGUCCUACGGGAGAAAGCAGGGGACCUUCGGGCCUUGCGCUAUCAGAUGAGCCUAGGUCGGAUUAGCUAGUUGGUGAGGUAAAGGCUCACCAAGGCGACGAUCCGUAACUGGUCUGAGAGGAUGAUCAGUCACACUGGAACUGAGACACGGUCCAGACUCCUACGGGAGGCAGCAGUGGGGAAUAUUGGACAAUGGGCGAAAGCCUGAUCCAGCCAUGCCGCGUGUGUGAAGAAGGUCUUCGGAUUGUAAAGCACUUUAAGUUGGGAGGAAGAGCAGUAAGUUAAUACCUUGCUGUUUUGACGUUACCGACAGAAUAAGCACCGGCUAACUUCGUGCCAGCCGCCGCCAGUAAGAC
rnacentral:rRNA from 1 species